rnacentral:rRNA from 1 species
GAUGAACGCUGGCGGCGUGCCUAAUACAUGCAAGUCGAGCGAACUGAUGAGGAGCUUGCUCCUCUGACGUUAGCGGCGGACGGGUGAGUAACACGUGGAUAACCUACCUAUAAGACUGGGAUAACUUCGGGAAACCGGAGCUAAUACCGGAUAAUAUAUUGAACCGCAUGGUUCAAUAGUGAAAGACGGUUUUGCUGUCACUUAUAGAUGGAUCCGCGCCGCAUUAGCUAGUUGGUAAGGUAACGGCUUACCAAGGCAACGAUGCGUAGCCGACCUGAGAGGGUGAUCGGCCACACUGGAAGUGAGACACGGUCCAGACUCCGAGGGGAGGCAGCAGUAGGGAAUCUUCCGCAAUGGGCGAGAGCCUGACGGAGCAACGCCGCGUGAGUGAUGAAGGUCUUCGGAUCGUAAAACUAUGUUAUUAGGGAAGAACAAAUGUGUAAGUAACUAUGCACGUCUUGACGGUACCUAAUCAGAAAGCCACGGCUAACUACGUG